rnacentral:rRNA from 1 species
CGCGUAGGCGGCCUGGUUAGUUAGAUGUGAAAUUCCUGGGCUUAACCUGGGGACUGCAUUUAAUACAGCCAAGCUUGAGUGUGGAAGAGGGUCGUGGAAUUCCCAGUGUAGAGGUGAAAUUCGUAGAUAUUGGGAAGAACACCGGUGGCGAAGGCGGCGACCUGGUCCAUUACUGACGCUGAGGCGCGAAAGCGUGGGGAGGCAAAACA